rnacentral:ncRNA from 2 species
UGAUCGUCCAAGGGGAGUUCCGGCAAGGAACUGAGAGGCCGCUAUCGAUGCGCGGCGACCCGUUGAACCUGAUCCAGUUCAUACUGGCGUAGGGAUGGAAGAAGGCCGCGAC